UCUUACCACGCUUUUUCCCAUGCUACCAAAGUCUGCUCUGUUAAAAUGUCAUUUAUCGUUUUCUGCUUUGUGUAGUACUCUAUGUUACCUGUGGAAUGUUCUGCCAUGGUCAGUGUGCUGAGACUUGUUUCCCAGCCUGUGCUGCUUUUGGGAGGAGACGGAAGCAGUAGGAGCAGAGGAGGAGGAGAAGGAAGGAGACCCUCAGCAGGACCCAUACGUGGGUGAUCCCUUAGAGAGGGAGGUGGUUGGGAUGUCAUUAGACCCUCAUUCUCCUGAAACUUCCUCCCCGCUACCUCUGCGGUAUCCUGCUGAGGCUGUGUGCAGUAUCAGAAGGUAUGUCCUGGAAUGUGGAAGGUUAACAGACACGGUUUCCAUCUGAGCAGCCGUGGGAAAGCCACCAUCGAUUCUCUGGUGAGACCUUCAGAGGCUGCUGCAGCUCAUGGACCCUCGACUCCAUCCUUUCUGGAUUACUUUUGAGGACAAACCAUCAUGGAAGAAGGACAUGACAUAGGAGAGACGCAUACAAGAGAAGGGGCCAGGAAUAAGAUCCGUUCUUCAGAGACACACCCACGGUGAUCCACAACCUUCACUUUGGCCUGGCCUUUUAGUUCCCACCUCCUUUGAGUAACAGCUAUCAGAUUAUAAGAUGACCAGUGGGUUAGCUCAUUGAUCACAUCCCCAAAGCCUAGCUUUUAACUGGUACAUCAAAGAACCAAGCCUUCAACACACACAUCCUUUAUGGGAACAUUCCAUACACAAACCACAUGAAUAUGCAGGUCACUUAAACACGCUACAAUGACUACAUCUGAAUCUUAUUUAAACUCACUCACACAGGGAGGGAGGUUCUGGGAACAGAACGCAGGGCCUUGGGACCGCUACACAAAUGCUGAACCUUUAGUCAUAUCACCAGAGCUCCGCUGACGCCUCAGUGCACACCAAUACUCUAACAUUGUCAAUGCGCAGAUUUCCAAACUGCCAGGUCAUCAAUCAAUUGAAUUCUUUUUUUGUUUGGUUGCUAGGAGGAUAACUACCAAUAUUCUGUCAGACGACAUUACUGAAAUAGUGAUUUUUCAUGUUAGAUCAUGUUUUUCAAAAACUCGGCAAAUCUUCUGACAGACUCUUAAGACUUUUGACUGAUGAGCCACUGAAUGGUGUAUUCCACCCGAAUCACAAGAUAGGGGAUUUAACCAGGAGGCCACCGAAGCUGUUAUCAGUUGACAAGCUAAGUCACGCUCAAACCUACCGCUGAGGUUUUCAACACAUCGCUUAAUGUCUGUGGAGCUCAGAGUCUGAAUAAAACACUGAACAGGGUCAACUGGUGGAUGUUUCUAGAAGCUUUGAUAAUUCAAUAUUUUCAUGUUUCUAAUACAUGUGGUGCAAUCUUGAGAUUUUCUCGAUUUCUGAAUGGAAGUUCUACCUUGGAAUUAAAAACAAAAUGUCUGCCUUAAGUAAUUCCCGCUGACAGGUUUUGAGUCUCAGACCAGGUUCAUUAAUCUUAUUUCCUUUAAAUUAAUGGGCUUAUCAUUCUAACUUCAUAAACUGUAAAUGUAUUUUUCUAAAUAAUUGUGGUGAUA